ensembl:miRNA aca-mir-30a aca-mir-30a
UGUUGACGGUGAGCGACUGUAAACAUCCUCGACUGGAAGCUGUGAAGCAGUAGAUGAAGCUUUCAGUCGGAUGUUUGCAGCUGCCAACUGCCAC